rnacentral:rRNA from 1 species
AGUGAACGCUGGCGGUAGGCCUAACACAUGCAAGUCGAACGGCAGCACAGUAAGAGCUUGCUCUUACGGGUGGCGAGUGGCGGACGGGUGCGGAAUACAUCGGAAUCUACUUUUUCGUGGGGGAUAACGUAGGGAAACUUACGCUAAUACCGCAUACGACCUACGGGUGAAAGCAGGGGAUCUUCGUACCUUGCGCGAUUGAAUGAGCCGAUGUCGGAUUAGCUAGUUGGCGGGGUAAAGGCCCACCAAGGCGACGAUCCGUAGCUGGUCUGAGAGGAUGAUCAGCCACACUGGAACUGAGACACGGUCCAGACUCCUACGGGAGGCAACAGUGGGGAAUAUUGGACAAUGGGCGCAAGCCUGAUCCAGCCAUACCGCGUGGGUGAAGAAGGCCUUCGGGUUGUAAAGCCCUUUUGUUGGGAAAGAAAAGCAGCAGGUUAAUACCCCGCUGUUCUGACGGUACCCAAAGAAUAAGCACCGGCUAACUUCGUG